AACGAACGCUGGCGGCGUGCCUAACACAUGCAAGUCGCGCGAGAAAGUCCGCAAGGAUGAGUAAAGCGGCGAACGGGUGAGUAACACGUAGGUAACCUGCCUUUCAGUCCGGGACAACCUGUCGAAAGACGGGCUAAUACUGGAUAAGACCACGACUCUUUCGGGAGCAGUGGUAAAAGGUGGCCUCUUCAUGAAAGCUAUCACUGAAAGAUGGGCCUGCGCACCAUUAGCUAGUUGGUAGGGUAAUGGCCUACCAAGGCUACGAUGGUUAGCUGAUCUUAGAGGAUGAUCAGCCACACUGGAACUGAAACACGGUCCAGACUCCUACGGGAGGCAGCAGUGGGGAAUAUUGCGCAAUGGGGGAAACCCUGACGCAGCAACGCCGCGUGAGUGACGAAGGCC
rnacentral:rRNA from 1 species